GUAAAUGACAGAUUUCAGACCUUGACUUGUAUAAAGUUACUUCUUGGGGGUAUAAUCUGUAUGGUUGCCAAAGUCAGUUUGGCAACAUUGCUACACAACAUAAGAUCAUCAUACAAUUUCUCAAAAUGCUAGUACUUGAUAACACUUCAAAAGGGAUUCGUAGUUCUAAAGCUACGUAGCAAGAUCAUUCUUUAACUUUCAUGGCAAAAUUGUGGCAUUUUGAUAUCGAUAAAUAUGGUUGGCAUCUUUCCUCUUGGGAUAGUCCCUUGAGCUUCAUCUCACAGCAGAAUAAGUAAUAAACUCUGUAGAAGUGAACUGAAAUGGCUGAAGAGGGAUAGGGUUCGGUCUUGGCCCAUAGACUUUUAUCUGGCGGAUAUGAGUGUCCCUUCCAUUAAGAUGAUUCGAGAGCACACCUAUUUGCAGCAUGAAAGUGUUGACAAAAGUUUCACGCGGAUCAUUACCAGAUAAAGAUAUAUGCAUCCAUCCAGUUGGCUUCACAAGUUCCACUGCUUUUAUCUCCUUCAAGUUGUGAAAGCCAUCGCCUGCUCGGAUAGAGAUCUUACCAGGUGUA
rnacentral:misc_RNA from 1 species